rnacentral:rRNA from 1 species
CCCGAUCCCUUCCCGAACUCGGAAGUUAAGUGCAUGAACGCCAAUGGUACUGCGACUCAAGUCGUGGGAGAGUAGGUCACCGCCAAAC